AGCCGUGCCAGAGUUCGAACUCCGGACAUCUGACAUGCAAGGCCAGUGUGAUUCCACUACUCCACCAGCGC
rnacentral:tRNA from 11 species